rnacentral:misc_RNA from 1 species
GGAAGUAAAACUUGUAACAAGGUUUCCGUAGGUGAACCUGCGGAAGGAUCAUUCAUAAUAAGUGUUUUAUGGCACUUUUUUAAAUCCAUAUCCACCUUGUGUGCAAUGUCAGGGUUGGUCUCUUUUGAUCAGCCCCAAACAUCAACUAUUAUCUCAACUCUUUGUCUGAAAAAUAUUAUGAAUAAAACAAUUCAAAAUACAACUUUCAACAACGGAUCUCUUGGCUCUC